GGCGGACGGGUGAGUAAUGCCUAGGAAUCUGCCUGGUAGUGGGGGAUAACGUCCGGAAACGGGCGCUAAUACCGCAUACGUCCUGAGGGAGAAAGUGGGGGAUCUUCGGACCUCACGCUAUCAGAUGAGCCUAGGUCGGAUUAGCUAGUUGGUGGGGUAAAGGCCUACCAAGGCGACGAUCCGUAACUGGUCUGAGAGGAUGAUCAGUCACACUGGAACUGAGACACGGUCCAGACUCCUACGGGAGGCAGCAGUGGGGAAUAUUGGACAAUGGGCGAAAGCCUGAUCCAGCCAUGCCGCGUGUGUGAAGAAGGUCUUCGGAUUGUAAAGCACUUAAGUGGGAGGAAGGGCAGUAAGUUAAUA
rnacentral:rRNA from 1 species